rnacentral:rRNA from 1 species
CCUACGGGGAGCUGCAGUAGGGAAUAUUGCUCAAUGGGGGAAACCCUGAAGCAGCAACGCCGCGUGGAGGAUGAAGGUUUUCGGAUUGUAAACUCCUUUUGUUAGAGAAGAUAAUGACGGUAUCUAACGAAUAAGCACCGGCUAACUCAGUGCCAGCAGCCGCGGUAAUACGGAGGGUGCAAGCGUUACUCGGAAUCACUGGGCGUAAAGAGCGCGUAGGCGGGAUAGCAAGUCAGAUGUGAAAUCCUAGGGCUUAACCAUAGAACUGCAUUUGAAACUGGUGUUCUUGAGUGUGGGAGAGGUAGGUGGAAUGCUUGGUGUAGGGGUGAAAUGCGUAGAGAUCAAGAGGAAUGCUCAUUGCGAAGGCGGCCGGCUGGAGCAUAACUGACGCUGAUGCGCGAAAGCGUGGGGAGCGAACAGGAUUAGAUACCCUGGUAGUG